GUGUUCACUUCAGCGGCACAUAUACUAAAAUUGGAACAAUACAGAGAAGAUGAACAUGACCCCUUCUGCAAGAAUAACAUGGAAAUCUGUGAAGUGAAAUAAAUAAAU